CACAAGUCCGCAAGGAGGCAGCUGAGCCGCUGCACUGGGCGGCAUCCGAGUCGAGAAACUGCCGCCGACACUAGCGUCUGGUUAUUACGAUUAGCAUCAAGUGCGAUUUGAAGUCGUUGUUCCCAAUUUGCACCGUUGUCAUCUCCUGCACCGAUCAAGACAUACCAGAUUAAUACGCAGCAGAGCUUAAGAAAGGUGCGGGAUCUGCACGGAAAAAACCUGGAGGAUGUGACAUGUAUUACCAGAAGGAAGCUGGGCUCGGACUUGAAUCGUCCUGACAAGGAUGAGCAGCGACGCCAAGAUCCAUGUCAGUUUUGUACUUGCCGAGCAACGGUAGCUCAUCACCAUGGUACUCUCUGGUUCUUCCAAUGUUUGGAAGCAAGAAGCGCAUCCUAUCCGGUAACGAGCGACUUGUGCAGGCAGUUAUAUAGCAGAAUAAAAUAAAAACUUGGCGUCG